rnacentral:rRNA from 1 species
CUACGGGGUGCUCCAGUUAGGAAUAAUCUACAAUGCACGAAAGUGUGAUAGUUUGAGUCAAAGUGCGUUUCAAUUUGAAAUGCUUUUAUGGAAUGUAAAAAGUUCCACGAAUAAGGACUGGGUAAGACAGGUGCCAGCCGCCGCGGUAAUACCUGCGGUCCAGUCGCAGCCAUUUUUAUUGGGUCUAAAACAUCCGUAGCUUGCUUGGUAAGUUUCUGGUGAAAUUCCAUAUCUUAAAUAUGGAGCGGGCAGGAAGUACUGCCAAGCUAGAGACUGGGAGACGUAAGAAGUACGUUCGAAGUAGCGGUAAAAUGUGUUAAUCUCGAGCGGACUCACAACAGCGAAGGCAUCUUACGAGAACAGUUCUGACAGUAAGGGAUGAAGGCUAGGGGCGCAAAACGGAUUAGAUACCCCCGUAGUC